rfam:Cavia porcellus supercont2_10 genomic scaffold, whole genome shotgun sequence.
GGGGAUUUAGCUCAGUGGUGUAAGCACCUGCCUGGUAAGUGCAAGGUUGUGAGUUCAACCCUCAGUACCCA